GGAGAUAGGUCAGUGUUGUUAGACACCUUGCACAGACGGGAAAACGGAGGUAGAGGAUCUUGUCCGGUGACAGAAGAAGCAGCAAUGUUCAUCAGAGGGCCUGCAUUUGAGAAUUCCUGUUCCCCCUCUGAUUAUACCUCACACUGCCACAGUUUCCAAAAUGGGUAUGCUUCUAAGUAUGCAUAGGCUCUUCGGCAGAGAAUUUCUUCCACACUUUUCCACUAGGUGGAGGAGCAAGGAAAGGAUCUGCCCCAUGAUCUCACCAACUGCUUGGAAGAGGCUGGUGUUGCAACAACUGCCCCAAGGUCAGACAGCUUCCCAUACAUCAGCAUCUGAGCAUCUUGCUUUCCUCAGACACAGACAUGUUACUGGGACUUUCUAAAGAUGACACUUCUUCAGCAGUUUCUCCAGGCCAGAUCUUGCAGGGGAAGGUGAUCUGAGAUUUGUUAGAAGGUUCCCAAUUCAGAAGCACACCGUAAAAAUACAAGGCAGGACUGUUUGGUCUAUUUUCUAUUGUUUUGCAAGGUAAAUACAUGACCCACAGUCUGGAGAAAACUCUGCUUUAGCAGUAAGGCCUAGAAAUGGUUAAUCUUUCUGGAAGAUACCACUCACUAACCUGCUAAUGGAGUAAUACCAAAGAUGGGAUUUGUCCCAAAUAAAGAGCCUAUUAAAACUAAAUAAAAGGCUUCCAGAAGCCUUUCUUCCAAAGCAUCCCCGAGAGCCUUACUGAGGCUCUAGGGCUGCCAGACCUCAGCUGACAACACAUACUUGGCCCCUUCUCAGCUUUGACAGAAUUGCAAGCAGGAAGCUGGGCUGCUGAAGUUGCUCCUUGAGCUGAGGAGGCAGUCCUGCUGAGCGAGGCCACAGCCUCUACCCCGUGCAGAAAGCACACAGAUGCUGCGGCUGGGAUGGCAGAGCUUGUGGAGAAACCCCUGAGUGAAGGCCAGGCUGGAGAUGGACAAACAGGUCAUAAAAGCAGAGAUCAGUGUCCUCGGCGCUAGCAGUCUGCGGAAAUCCAGGGGGAGAGGACACGAAGGAAUUUCUCCAACCACCAGUGCAGCCAGCAGUGUGAGGCAGAAUCCAGCUCUCUGCAGGCUGAACUCAGACUCAUGUUCACAAGCUGGAAGAUAACCUGUCUGAAGCCAAAGCCCAGCUGGCUGAGGCGAAGAGCCAAGCUGAAAUUAAUGCCAUCAGGCUCCAAGGACAAUGUUGGCUGUGAGGCUUCAGGAAGCAGAGCAGACAGCUGAAUCAGUCCAAGCCUGUGUUGGCAGCCCUGAGAAAACUAAGCAGAGGCUUCAGACAGAAGCGGAGAACCUCACUCAACCUGGAAAAGACAAGAAAGCCAGCCAUUCAAGAAUGCAUCCAGCACGAGCCUGAUGAGCAAGAUCUGCUGCUGGAGUCUUUCUGUUAACUCACGGAUCCCUUAUUUCCUAGUAUUUUAAGAUCUCUCUAUCAAAUGUCACAGUAAUCUGUAUGGCCAUGAGAAGCAAGGCUAAGAUUUAUCACCUCAUGAAUAAACCUAGACGAGAGCCGCAGCAAAUUCCUAGGAGCACUCAGCAUGCUUCUUGUAAACUCAUUAACUGUCUUCCAGAAACAAGAGUGCAACUGAAGCAAAAGCCCUCCCUAACUGCAAGGCAAGGCCAAUGCCACUUGUGCUGCUGAGGACAAGAAGCAGAGAGCCUUUGAUAAGAUGCUGGCAGAAUGGCAACAAAAAAUAUGAAGAGCUGCAGGUGGAAGUGAAUAUUUCGCAGAAGGAAUGUACAUUGACUGGAAAUUCUGAGCUUAAGAGUGUCUGUGAAAAACCCUUGGAGCAUCUGGAAUCUGUGAAGAAAGAACAUGGCCCUUCAAGGUGAGUCUGGAGACUGAAGUGACAGGGCAUGCUGAAGCACUUAGGCUCAAGGAGAUGGAAACUGACCAGAACAAAAUGGAAAUCCAAGUGGAUCGUGCCAACAGGAAUAACAGUGAGCUUGUCAAGAUACUGAAUAAACUGCAACAGCAUCUCAAGGACCUUUGGAAGCAAAUGGAUGAGGAUAUGGAUAAAAGCAGAUGAGCAAAUGGAUACAGCCAGAGCUGGAAGCAGUAUGGACCAGCCAGGAGGGCAGUGAGGUUGAAAACCCUACCUUAAAAAGGACAAUGUAAGAUUCUGCCUCCAAUGAAACUACAGUUUUGCUCGUUGUUUCCAUGGUGCUGGGAUUUCUUCUAUGGAAUGUAGCCCACAGCAAGAUCCAUUUUAGUGAAAUUUUACAGAUUGCAGUAUGAAAUGACAUACCUGCCAUCUUUUUUCUGUGCAUAGAUUUUAGAAGCCACUUCAACAUUCACCAUUACAGCCUGCAGUUCUUUUCCAUAAAGGAAACAUUGCUAAUAUUUGCAAGGAAGAAAGUAUAACUUCUGGAAUGGACUGAUACCAUGAAAAGUAUUUCUCAGCUGCAAUUAUGGGACAUCAGUUAUGAAAAUUGAGUCAUAAAUGCAAUUUUUAUUCAAAUAGAUUAGCAAUGCAAUCAAUUCAUUUACUUAAAACUGACUGAUGAUGAAAGGACACGUUUUUAGCAAGUGAACUGCUAUCUCCAUGCUGAAUCUGGAGUUCAGAAGUUUUGUUAUACGGAACCUACAGAGCUCAGAACCUGUGCAGCGUUCUGGAACACAAUGGCACAUUUACUUGACGUUGUUUUGCUAGACAGUGGUGUGUGUUGCUAGAAUGCAGUUGUUCUAUUACAGUCCUUGUAGUCCUCCUUCUUUAGAGUGGGGCUCAUUUUUUUUUGUUAUUAUUUUUACAGCAACAACAGUCCUCCAAUGAUUCAUAUCAGUAAACAGUAAGCACUAAACAAGCUGUGGAGCUCAUAUUUUCCAUGAGAUAAAAAGACAUACAGAUCAUAAAUUCUGGAGCAGAAACUACAUUCGUUUGUUGAGAUUGCAAUCAAACACAGUUUCAGUCAGGUCUAAAGCCAGCUGCUGCUACUGCAGCUUCACUUUGAAAUAAAUAAUAUUGGUAUAUAUAAUCAAAUCCAUGCACACAAAUAUCCAGUAAAACAGACUCAGGCUCAAGGACUUCAUAAACAACAGAGUCUAUCUCUGCCUCAAAGGUGCAUCAUUAUUUUAGCUUUCAUUUAACAUGACAAUAAAUAUGCAGAUCCUAAUGUUCCAUAAUGCAGAUACAGUAGGGGUGAAUCCCACUUGGCUUAACAGUGCAAAAGUUUAGAGAAAAACAAACUGCAGAAAACUUAUCCACAAACCACUUUGGGAGCUGAGCAGUUAACAUAUUCUGGGUCUCCAGGACUUCUUCCUGCCCUCUAGAAAUAGCCUGCUUGCUAUUAAAUGAAAGCUAGAAUCUGACCUUCAGCACACUAUUAAUGAGCAUGAGGAAGUCAUCAGCAAGCGCUGAAAAGCUGAUGAGAAAGCAAAGCAAACUGUGGCUGAUGCAAGUCACCUCCCCACCCUUCUGCCCUUUAUGUCGGUAGCUAGAAACCUUAAAGUAUACAUUCCAUUAUUUUUCUCCAGUGCUUAUUUGUAAGCACACUGCUGAUAAUACAUGUUAGCUGUUGCAUUGCUCUUUAUGAUCCUAAAAAGCAGAAUGCUUGUUAGCUCACUGAUUGCAGUUUGGCAAAAUUAAUCCACAAAAAAAAUCUACUUCCUCUGUGCCUCUCUCGUAAUCUACAUCACAGAUGGCACCCUGAGGAAUUCCUCCAUUUCCUCUCCCGUUAUCCCUUCUUUCACUUAUUGCACAACUCCACUCAUCACACCUCUCAGGCCUCCAACACAAGAGUAGGCAGGCUUCCCUUUCUAGCUAGUCAAUGGCAUUCAUAACUGGCACAGAGGGGAGAAAACUUGCCAGCACUGAGCAGAUUGCUCCGUUGGCACUGUACUGACAGCUGGCACUUCAAAAAUAUCAUAACUAGCUAUGGAUUUAAUGCACAGUUUCCUCCCAGAACGAGGAUGAGCCUCCUGCCUUUCUCUGUGCUUUAAGCACAUUCAGACAAUAUCUUUACUUUCCAUCUAUAGCAACUUUAAGCCACUUUCUUUCCACUGAAGGGUAGAAAUCAAAGCUCGAAGUAUUAUUAGAACCAAAGCUAUUGACUUAGU